CCUACGGGCGGCUGCAGUGGGGAAUAUUGGACAAUGGGCGAAAGCCUGAUCCAGCCAUGCCGCGUGUGUGAAGAAGGCCUUCGGGUUGUAAAGCACUUUCAGUGGGGAAGAAAGCCUUGGGGCUAAUACCCUCGAGGAAGGACAUCACCCACAGAAGAAGCACCGGCUAACUCCGUGCCAGCAGCCGCGGUAAUACGGAGGGUGCGAGCGUUAAUCGGAAUUACUGGGCGUAAAGCGCGCGUAGGCGGUCUGAUAAGCCGGUUGUGAAAGCCCCGGGCUCAACCUGGGAACGGCAUCCGGAACUGUCAGGCUAGAGUGCAGGAGAGGAAGGUAGAAUUCCCGGUGUAGCGGUGAAAUGCGUAGAGAUCGGGAGGAAUACCAGUGGCGAAGGCGGCCUUCUGGACUGACACUGACGCUGAGGUGCGAAAGCGUGGGUAGCAAACAGGAUUAGAUACCCGGUAGU
rnacentral:rRNA from 1 species